rnacentral:tRNA from 1 species
GCGGGUGUAGCUCAAUGGUAGAGCACUGGCUUCCCAAGCCAGUUGUGAGGGUUCGAUUCCCUUCACCCGCU